rnacentral:tRNA from 1 species
GGGGGCGGCUGCCGGCUUGGAGGCGGCCACCCGCGCUGCGGGCGCGGGCUUCUCAGCCGCCACGGGCUGCUCGGGCUCCGGCUCCUCCUUCU